rnacentral:rRNA from 1 species
CAGUCGCCACGGGAAUACGUAGGGUGCAAGCGUUAAUCGGAAUUACUGGGCGUAAAGCGUGCACAGGCGGUUUGUUAAGACAGAUGUGAAAUCCCCGGGCUUAACCUGGGAACUGCAUUUGUGACUGCGGGGCUAGAGUGUGUCAGAGGGGGGUGGAAUUCCACGUGUAGCAGUGAAAUGCGUAGAUAUGUGGAGGAACACCGAUGGCGAAGGCAGCCCCCUGGGAUAACACUGACGCUCAUGCACGAAAGCGUGGGGAGCAAACAGGAUUAGAUACCCGCGUAGUCCCUGUCUCUUAUAA